AGAAUCAACGCUGGCGGCGUGCCUAACACAUGCAAGUCGCACGAGAAAGGGACUUCGGUCCUGAGUACAGUGGCGCACGGGUGAGUAACACGUGAAUAAUCUACCUCCGAGUGGGGAAUAACUGAGAGAAAUCUUAGCUAAUACCGCAUAACACUUACGAGUCAAAGCAGCAAUGCGCUUGGAGAGGAGUUCGCGGCAGAUUAGUUAGUUGGCGGGGUAAUGGCCCACCAAGACGAUGAUCUGU
rnacentral:rRNA from 1 species